rnacentral:tRNA from 1 species
GCCCCUGUGGCGGAAUGGUAGACGCGGCAGACUCAAAAUCUGUUGAUCGCAAGGUCGUGGGGGUUCAAGUCCCUCCAGGGGCACCA